AAAUAUUCCUGCACCGCUUGUUACUGCGAUGAGGGGACGGAGGAGGCUAGGCUGGCCGGGUGUUGGUUAUCCCGGUUUAAGCGUGUAGGAAGUGUUCUUAGGCAAAUCCGGGAACACAAUUCCGAGACGUGAUGACGAGGGUCCAUUGGACUCGAAGUAGCUGAUGCCACGCUCCCAGGAAAAGCCUCUAAGCUUCAGGUAACAAGGACCGUACUGCAAACCGACACAGGUGGGUGAGGAGAAAAUCCUAAGGCGCUUGAGAGAACUCGGAUGAAGGAACUCUGCAAAAUUGUGCCGUAACUUCGGGAGAAGGCACGCCCUCUAAGGUGAAGGACCUGCGUCUGGAGCCAUUGAGGGUCUCAGUAAAAGGUGGCUGCGACUGUUUACUAAAAACACAGCACUCUGCAAACACGUAAGUGGAAGUAUAGGGUGUGACGCCUGCCCGGUGCCGGAAGGUUAAUUGAUGGGGUUAGCCGCAAGGCGAAGCUCUUGAUCGAAGCCCCGGUAAACGGCGGCCGUAACAAUAACGGUCCUAAGGUAGCGAAAUUCCUUGUCGGGUAAGUUCCGACCUGCACGAAUGGCGUAACGAUGGCCACACUGUCUCCAUCCGAGACUCAGUGAAGUUGAAAUCGCUGUGAAGAUGCAGUGUACCCGCGGCAAGACGGAAAGACCCCGUGAACCUUUACUAUAACUUUGCACUGAAUUUUGAAUUUGUCUGUGUAGGAUAGGUGGGAGGCUUUGAAGCGGUGACGCUAGUCAUCGUGGAGCCACCGUUGAAAUACCACCCUGAUAAAUUCGGAGUUCUACCUUGGCCCGUUAUCCGGGUUGGGGACAGUGCAUGGCGGGUAGUUUGACUGGGGCGGUCUCCUCCUAAAGAGUAACGGAGGAGCACAAAGGUACCCUCAGCGCGGUCGGACAUCGCGCAGUGAGUGCAUAGGCACAAGGGUGCUUGACUGCGAGACAAACAAGUCGAGCAGGGACGAAAGUCGGUCUAAGUGAUCCGGUGGUUCUGUAUGGAAGGGCCAUCGCUCAACGGAUAAAAGGUACUCCGGGGAUAACAGGCUUAUUCCUCCCAAGAGUCCACAUCGACGGAGGAGUUUGGCACCUCGAUGUCGGCUCAUCACAUCCUGGGGCUGUAGCAGGUCCCAAGGGUUCGGCUGUUCGCCGAUUAAAGUGGUACGCGAGCUGGGUUUAGAACGUCGUGAGACAGUUCGGUCCCUAUCUGCCGUGGGCGUUGGAAAUUUGAGGGGAGCUGCUCCUAGUACGAGAGGACCGGAGUGGACGUACCUCUGGUGUUCCGGUUGUCACGCCAGUGGCAUUGCCGGGUAGCUAUGUGCGGAAGGGAUAACCGCUGAAAGCAUCUAAGCGGGAAGCCCACCCCAAGAUUAGAUUUCCCUGAGGACUCGAUCCUCCUAAAGGGCCCUCGUAGACUACGAGGUUGAUAGGCUGGGUGUGGAAGUCGAGUAAUCGAUGAAGCUAACCAGUACUAAUUGCCCGUGAGGCUUGACCG
rnacentral:rRNA from 1 species